AGUGAACAAUUAAACGGCCGCGGUACUCUAACCGUGCAAAGGUAGCAUAAUCAUUUGUCUACUAAUUAUAGACUAGCAUGAAAGGCAAAAUGAGGGUCUAACUGUCUCUUAUAGUAAGUCAAUUAAACUGAUCUACCAGUAAAAAAGCUGGAAUACACACACAAGACCAGAAGACCCUGUGAAGCUUAAACUAAACUAUUAAAAUUCUAUAAUAGCUACUUUCGGUUGGGGCGACCUUGGAAAAUAAAAGAACUUCCAAACAUAAUGAUUAUUUAUUAUCAUCCUCCAGGCCAACAAGCCAUAUACGACCCAGCAAGCUGAUAAUUGAACCAAGUUACUCCAGGGAUAACAGCGCUAUCUUCUUCAAGAGUCCAUAUCAAAAAGAAGGUUUACGACCUCGAUGUUGGAUCAGGACAUCCUAA
rnacentral:rRNA from 1 species